AUACGUAGGGAGCGAGCGUUGUCCGGAAUUACUGGGUGUAAAGGGAGCGUAGGCGGGACUGCAAGUCAGAUGUGAAAUACCGGGGCUUAACCCCGGAGCUGCAUUUGAAACUGUGGUUCUUGAGGGAAGUAGAGGCAAGUGGAAUUACCAGUGUAGCGGUUAAAUGCGUAGAGAUUGGGAGGAACACCAGUGGCGAAGGCGACUUACUGGGCCGUAACUGACGCUGAGGCGCGAAAGCGUGGGGAGCGAACAGGAUUAGAUACCCUGGUAGUCCACGCGGUAAACGAUGAAUGCCAGGUGUUGCGGGUAUCGACCCCUGCAGUGCCGGAGUAAACACAAUAAGCAUUCCGCCUGGGGAGUACGGCCGCAAGGUUGAAACUCAAAUGAAUUGACGGG
rnacentral:rRNA from 1 species